rnacentral:rRNA from 1 species
CAUUACACAAUAAAAUACGAAGGCCGUUCGCGGCUGGACUAUUUAUUACCCUUGUCUUUUGCGCACUUGUUGUUUCCUGGGCGGGUUCGCUCGCCACCAGGACCACAAUAUAAACCUUUUUUAUGCAGUUGCAAUCAGCGUCAGUAUAACAAAUGUAAAUCAUUUACAACUUUCAACAACGGAUCUCUUGGUUCUGGCAUCGAUGAAGAACGCAGCGAAAUGCGAUACGUAGUGUGAAUUGCAGAAUUCAGUGAAUCAUCGAAUCUUUGAACGCACAUUGCGCCCUUUGGUAUUCCAAAGGGCAUGCCUGUUCGAGCGUCAUUUGUACCCUCAAGCUUUGCUUGGUGUUGGGCGUUUUUUGUCCCCCCCAAAAAGGGGACUCGCCUUAAAAGGAUUGGCAGCCGGCCUACUGGUUUCGCAGCGCAGCACAUUUUUGCGCUUGCAAUCAGCAAAAGAGGACGGCAAUCCAUCAAGACUCCUUCUCACGUUUGACCUCGGAUCAGGUAGGGAUACCCGCUGAACUUAAGCAUAUCAAUA